AGGUUUCUCUCCCCUCGUUAAAUAGAGAGAAACGGUAUAGCUGCCAACACUCAGCUAGCUCUGGCGGCCUAACACCCGCUAGCGUCCGCCGGAUCGAGCCCUCAGGGUCCGGGAACGGGCGUCAUACUCUGGAGGCUGGCUCUGAACCUUGUCUCAGGGGAAGAGCGAGAACCAUGAGGCUGGCCACGCGGUCCUCCUGCCGGACGGACGGCCGCGAGGCGAGAGAGUCGUGAAGUAGACCGGCUAUCGGCGUAGACGCCUGUGGCUGAGGAUUUCCGGACGUGGGUUCGAUUCCCACCGCCUCCACCA
rnacentral:tmRNA from 1 species